rnacentral:rRNA from 1 species
CCUACGGGUGGCAGCAGUGAGGAAUAUUGGUCAAUGGGCGCUAGCCUGAACCAGCCAAGUAGCGUGAAGGAUGACUGCCCUAUGGGUUGUAAACUUCUUUUAUAUGGGAAAUAAGUGCAGUAUGUAUACUGCUUUGCAUGUACCUUAUGAAUAAGGAUCGGCUAACUCCGUGCCAGCAGCCGCGGUAAUACGGAGGAUCCGAGCGUUAUCCGGAUUUAUUGGGUUUAAGGGGUGCGUAGGCGGAAUAUCAAGUCAGCGGUAAAAAUUCGGGGCUCAACCCCGUCGUGCCGUUGAAACUGAUGGUCUUGAGUGGGCGAGAAGUAUGCGGAAUGCGUGGUGUAGCGGUGAAAUGCAUAGAUAUCACGCAGAACUCCGAUUGCGAAGGCAGCAUACCGGCGCCCAACUGACGCUGAAGCACGAAAGCGUGGGUAUCGAACAGGAUUAGAUACCCGAGUAGUC